rnacentral:rRNA from 1 species
AUUGAACGCUGGCGGCAGGCUUAACACAUGCAAGUCGAGCGGGGUGAUGGUGCUUGCACUAUCACUUAGCGGCGGACGGGUGAGUAAUGCUUAGGAAUCUGCCUAUUAGUGGGGGACAACGUCUCGAAAGGGAUGCUAAUACCGAAUACGUACUACGGGAGAAAGCAGGGGAUCACUUGUGACCUUGCGCUAAUAGAUGAGCCUAAGUUGGAUUAGCUAGUUGGUGGGGGAAAGGCCUACCAAGGCGACGAUCUGUAGCGGGUCUGAGAGGAUGAUCCGCCACACUGGGACUGGGACACGGCCCAGACUCCUACGGGAGGUAGCAGUGGGGAAUAUUGGACAAUGGGGGGAACCCUGAUCCAGCCAUGCCGCGUGUGUGAAGAAGGCCUUAUGGUUGUAAAGCACUUUAAGCGAGGAGGAGGCUCUUUUGGUUAAUACCCAAGAUGAGUGGACGUUACUCGCAGAAUAAGCACCGGCUAACUCUGUGCCAGCCGCCGCAGUAA